rnacentral:rRNA from 1 species
CCUACGGGUGGCAGCAGUCGAGAAUCAUUCACAAUGGGGGAAACCCUGAUGGUGCGACGCCGCGUGGGGGAAUGAAGGUCUUCGGAUUGUAAACCCCUGUCAUGUGGGAGCAAAUUAAAAAGAUAGUACCACAAGAGGAAGAGACGGCUAACUCUGUGCGAGCAGCCGCGGUACUACAGAGGUCUCAAGCGUUGUUCGGAAUCACUGGGCGUAAGGCGUGCGUAGGCUGUUCCGUAAGUCGUGGGUGAAAGGCGCGGGCUCAACCCGCGGACGGCACAUGAUACUGCGGGACUAGAGUAAAGGAGAGGGAAGCGGAAUUCUCGGUGUAGCAGUGAAAUGCGUAGAUAUCGAGAGGAACACUCGUGGCGAAGGCGGGUUCCUGGACAUUAACUGACGCUGAGGCACGAAGGCCAGGGGAGCGAAAGGGAUUAGAUACCCGAGUAGUC